rnacentral:rRNA from 1 species
CCUACGGGUGGCAGCAGUGGGGAAUAUUGCACAAUGGGGGAAACCCUGAUGCAGCGACGCCGCGUUAGUGAAGAAGUAUUUCGGUAUGUAAAGCUCUAUCAGCAGGAACGAGACAAGACGGUACCUGACUAAGAAGCCCCGGCUAACUACGUGCCAGCAGCCGCGGUAAUACGGAGGGGGCAAGCGUUAUCCGGAAUCACUGGGUGUAAAGGGAGCGUAGACGGCUGGGCAAGGCUGAAGUGAAAGGUGGGGGCCCAACCCCUGGACUGCUUUGGGAACUGUACGGCUGGAGUGCAGGAGAGGUAAGUGGAAUUCCUAGUGGAGCCGUGAAAUGCGUAGAUAUUAGGAGGAACACCAGUGGCGAAGGCGGCUUACUGGACUGUAACUGACGUUGAGGCUCGAACGCGUGGGGAGCAAACAGGAUUAGAUACCCCUGUAGUC